UACGAGGGGGGCAAGCGUUGUUCGGAAUUAUUGGGCGUAAAGGGUGCGUAGGCGGUCUGUUAAGUCAUCUGUGAAAUCUAUGGGCUCAACCCAUAGUCUGCAGGCGAAACUGUCGGGCUUGAGUAUGGGAGAGGUGAGUGGAAUUUCCGGUGUAGCGGUGAAAUGCGUAGAUAUCGGAAGGAACACCUAUGGCGAAAGCGGCUCUCUGGAACGGUACUGACGCUGAGACGCGAAAGCGUGGGGAGCGAACAGG
rnacentral:rRNA from 1 species